AUGGUCUGAAAUGGAGAGAUAAUAGAAGGGGAUGACAUAUGAAAAUAAAUUCAUAAAGGUUGCACUGAUUACUGUGUGACUGGAAUACACAGAUGAAAACAUUCCAUGGGACCAUGAUGGUGGUGUUUCGUCCUUGGGCCCUACCCCUGCUCCAUUUUGAAUGGGCCAGUUGAUUCCUUUCUCAGCUUUAACUUGAAGUAAUCCAAGGAGCCCACUAAGAUAGCUUUCCUGAAACAAAAGUACAAUUUGUCUUCAAAGGUGAAUUCAAGUGAAUCUCUCAAGAGAAACAGGAAUACUAUUUUAAAAUGAUUCUUCCGACCCCUGCACUCCUGGACAGCAUGUUAAAAACAAAUACAGAUAUAGAUUACAUUUACCUUUGUUAUUCUUGGUCUCUUUUUGAGAUCUUUUGCCCACUGGCUGUUGACUCAGAAAUGCCUUCUGAUAAACAGUUUGGACAUUCCAGGGUCCUGAAGCUGCCCCUCAGUCCCAAAAAUAUAAGAAAUGUACCCAGUACGAAUGUAAAGGUAGCAUCCGUGGAGCACACACUGCACACCAGUUGUCAGCUCUGCUUUGGUUGGUGAUGUUCUGUUGGCCCUCUCAGGAGGUUCUGUUGGCUAGAGGUUGCUUUCUCCACCUAUUGAGGAAGAAUCAUGCAAAGACAAGAGGAGGCCACCAGAGGACAACCGGGUUGGCACCUGGGAAAACUGGCAUGGAAAUGCCAAUUUCAGCCUUCUGUGUCUGCCUUUAGGUGCUCUACAGGUCCAGGGUAGAGCAAGCCGCUGUUAGGAUGAAGCUACAGAUGGGCAGACCACUCAAGAGCUGGGUUCCCACUAGACACUUGUUUCUAAAGGAAGAUUGCUUAACUGCAUAUAAUCUUGACAUUAUAGCUUGAUAAAGAACAUCUUAA